CAGUCGCCGCGGUAAUACGUAGGUCCCGAGCGUUGUCCGGAUUUAUAGGGCGUAAAGGGAGCGCAGGCGGUUUAGUAAGUCUGAAGUUAAAGGCAUUGGCUCAACCAAUGUAUGCUUUGGAAACUGUUAGACUUGAGUGCAGAAGGGGAGAGUGGAAUUCCAUGUGUAGCGGUGAAAUGCGUAGAUAUAUGAAGGAACACCGGUGGCGAAAGCGGCUCUCUGGUCUGUCACUGACGCUGAGGCUCGAAAGCGUGGGUAGCGAACAGGAUUAGAUACCCCAGUAGUCCCUGUCUCUUAUACA
rnacentral:rRNA from 1 species